rnacentral:misc_RNA from 1 species
GAUGAAGAACGUAGCGAAAUGCGAUAAGUAAUGUGAAUUGCAGAAUUCAGUGAAUCAUCGAAUCUUUGAACGCACCUUGCGCCCUUUGGCCAUUCCGAAGGGCAUGCCUGUUUGAGUAUCAUGAACACCUCAACUCUUUAUGGUUUUCCAUGAUGAGCUUGGACUCUGGGGGUUUUGCUGGCUCACAGUCGGCUCCUCUAAAAUGAAUCAGCUUACCAGAGUUUGGUGGGUAUCAUGGGUGUGAUAACUAUCUACGCUUGUGGUUUUUCCACCAGGUAACCUUCAGCAGUGGAGGUUCGCUGGAGCUCAUAGAUGUCUCUCCUCAGUGAGGACAGCCCUUUGAAUGUUUGAUCUCAAAUCAGGUAGGACUACCCGCUGAACUUAAGCAUAUCAAUAAGCGGAGGA